ACCAGACUCCUACGGGAGGCAGCAGUGGGGGAUAUUGCACAAUGGGGGAAACCCUGAUGCAGCGACGCCGCGUGAGUGAAGAAGUAUUUCGGUAUGUAAAGCUCUAUCAGCAGGGAAGAAAAAAGACGGUACCUGACUAAGAAGCCCCGGCUAACUACGUGCCAGCAGCCGCGGUAAUACGUAGGGGGCAAGCGUUAUCCGGAUUUACUGGGUGUAAAGGGAGCGUAGACGGCAAUACAAGUCGGAAGUGAAAUACCCGGGCUCAACCUGGGAAUUGCUUUGGAAACUGUAUGGCUGGAGUGCUGGAGAGGUAAGCGGAAUUCCUAGUGUAGCGGUGAAAUGCGUAGAUAUUAGGAGGAACACCAGUGGCGAAGGCGGCUUACUGGACAGUAACUGACGUUGAGGCUCGAAAGCGUGGGGAACAAACAGGAUUAGAUACCCUGGUAGC
rnacentral:rRNA from 1 species